UAAUCUUCAGAAUUCCAUGAAGUAGGGUGGGAGUAAUGGAUGAGGCCUCAAGAUGAAAGAAAUGCUGCUAACUACUGAAUGUGGGUCAGAGUGGUAACCAG